rnacentral:rRNA from 1 species
AAACCAGCACCUCAAGUGGUCAGGAUGAUUAUUGGGCCUAAAGCAUCCGUAGCCGGCUUUGUAAGUUUUCGGUUAAAUCCAUACGCUCAACGUAUGGGCUGCCGGGAAUACUGCAAAACUAGGGAGUUGGAGAGGUAGACGGUACUCGGGAGGAAGGGGUAAAAUCCUUUGAUCUCUCGAUGACCACCUGUGGCGAAGGCGGUCUACCAGAACACGUCCGACGGUGAGGGAUGAAAGCUGGGGGAGCAAACCGGAUUAGAUACCCGGGUAGUCC